UACGUAGGUGACCAGCGUUGUCCGGAUUUACUGGGCGUAAAGAGCGCGCAGGCGGUCGUUCAAGUCGAGUGUGAAAGCCCCCGGCUCAACUGAGGAGGGUCAUUCGAUACUGAUCGACUUGAAGGCAGGAGAGGGAAGUGGAAUUCCCGGUGUAGUGGUGAAAUGCGUAGAUAUCGGGAGGAACACCAGUGGCGAAGGCGACUUCCUGGCCUGUUCUUGACGCUGAGGCGCGAAAGCUAGGGGAGCAAACGGG
rnacentral:rRNA from 1 species